CACGUAGGGGGCGAGCGUUGUCCGGAUUCAUUGGGCGUAAAGAGCUCGUAGGCGGCUCAGUAAGUCGGGUGUGAAACCCUCAGGCUCAACCUGGGGACGCCACUCGAUACUGCUGUGGCUAGAGUCCAGUAGAGGAGUGUGGAAUUCCAGGUGUAGCGGUGAAAUGCGUAGAGAUCUGGAGGAACACCGAUGGCGAAGGCAGCCUUCUGGGCCAACACUGACGCUCAUGCACGAAAGCGUGGGGAGCAAACAGG
rnacentral:rRNA from 1 species